UACAGAGGUCUCAAGCGUUUGUUCGGAUUCAUUGGGCGUAAAGGGUGCGUAGGCGGCGCGGUAAGUCGGGUGUGAAAUCUUGGAGCUUAACUCCGAAACUGCAUUCGAUACUGCCGUGCUUGAGGACUGGAGAGGAGACUGGAAUUCAUGGUGUAGCAGUGAAAUGCGUAGAGAUCAUGAGGAAGACCAGUGGCGAAGGCGGGUCUCUGGACAGUUCCUGACGCUGAGGCACGAAGGUCAGGGGAGCAAACGGG
rnacentral:rRNA from 1 species